UACGGGGGGGGCAAGCGUUGUUCGGAAUUACUGGGCGUAAAGGGCUCGUAGGUGGCCAACUAAGUCAGACGUGAAAUCCCCAGGCUUAACCUGGGAACUGCGUCUGAUACUGGUUGGCUUGAAUCCGGGAGAGGGAUGUGGAAUUCCAGGUGUAGCGGUGAAAUGCGUAGAUAUCUGGAGGAACACCGGUGGCGAAGGCGACAUCCUGGACCGGUAUUGACGCUGAGGCGCGAAAGCCAGGGGAGCAAACGGG
rnacentral:rRNA from 1 species